GCCGGGGUGGCGGAACUGGUAGACGCGCCGGAUUCAAAAUCCGGUUCUCGCAAGAGAGUGCGGGUUCGAUUCCCGCCCCCGGCACCA
rnacentral:tRNA from 1 species